CAACCCUCAAGCCCCCGGGCUUGGUGUUGGAGAUCGGCACAAGCGACCUCCGGGCCGCCGCCGUCUCCCAAAUCUAGUGGCGGUCUCGCUGUGGCGUCCUCUGCGUAGUAAUACCCCUCGCACUGGAACGCGGCGCGGCCAAGCCGUUAAACCCCCCACUUCUGAA
rnacentral:misc_RNA from 1 species